rnacentral:rRNA from 2 species
GAACGAUGAAACUUAGAUGAUUUCUUCGGAAUGAACUUAAGUGGAUUAGUGGCGGACGGGUGAGUAACGCGUGAGUAACCUGCCUUACACAAGGGGAUAGCCGUUGGAAACGACGAAUAAUACCCUAUGAAACUAUCACUUCGCAUGAAGCGAUAGUCAAAGUGUUAGCGGUGUAAGAUGGACUUGCGUCUGAUUAGCUAGUUGGUGAGAAAAAAGCCCACCAAGGCAACGAUCAGUAGCCGGCUUGAGAGAGUGUACGGCCACAUUGGGACUGAGACACGGCCCAGACUCCUACGGGAGGCAGCAGUGGGGAAUUUUGCACAAUGGGGGAAACCCUGAUGCAGCGACGCCGCGUGAUUUAGAAGGCCUUCGGGUUGUAAAAAUCUUUUGUAUAGGAAGAAAAUGACAGUACUAUACGAAUAAGGUCCGGCUAAUUACGUGCCAGCAGCCGCGGUAAUACGUAAGGACCGAGCGUUGUCCGGAAUCAUUGGGCGUAAAGGGUACGUAGGCGGGUCAUUAAGUUAGAAGUCAAAGGCUAUAGCUCAACUAUAGUAAGCUUCUAAAACUGGAGACCUUGAGUAAUGGAAGGGAAAGUGGAAUUCCUAGUGUAGCGGUGGAAUGCGCAGAUAUUAGGAGGAAUACCGGUGGCGAAGGCGACUUUCUGGCC